GAGGCGAACCGGGAGAACUGAAACAUCUAAGUACCCCGAGGAAAAGAAAUCAACCGAGAUUCCCUCAGUAGCGGCGAGCGAACGGGGAUUAGCCCUUAAGCAUCUUGGAAGUUAGUGGAACGGUCCUGGAAAGGCCGGCGAUACAGGGUGAUAGCCCCGUACACGAAAACAACCUUGAUGUGAAAUCGAGUAGGGCGGGACACGUGACAUCCUGUCUGAAUAUGGGGGGACCAUCCUCCAAGGCUAAAUACUCCUGACUGACCGAUAGUGAACCAGUACCGUGAGGGAAAGGCGAAAAGAACCCCUGUGAGGGGAGUGAAAUAGAACCUGAAACCGUGUACGUACAAGCAGUGGGAGCCCUUCGGGGUGACUGCGUACCUUUUGUAUAAUGGGUCAGCGACUUACAUUUUGUAGCGAGGUUAACCGUAUAGGGGAGCCGUAGGGAAACCGAGUCUUAACUGGGCGUCUAGUUGCAAGGUGUAGACCCGAAACCGGGUGAUCUAGCCAUGGGCAGGUUGAAGGUUGAGUAACAUCAACUGGAGGACCGAACCCACUAACGUUGCAAAGUUAGGGGAUGACCUGUGGCUGGGGGUGAAAGGCCAAUCAAACUCGGAGAUAGCUGGUUCUCCCCGAAAGCUAUUUAGGUAGCGCCUCGGACGAAUACUACUGGGGGUAGAGCACUGUUUGGGCUAGGGGGUCAUCCCGACUUACCAACCCCAUGCAAACUCCGAAUACCAGUAAGUAAUAUCCGGGAGACACACGGCGGGUGCUAACGUCCGUCGUGAAGAGGGAAACAACCCAGACCGCCGGCUAAGGUCCCAAAGUUCUGGUUAAGUGGGAAACGAUGUGGGAAGGCUCAGACAGCUAGGAUGUUGGCUUAGAAGCAGCCAUCAUUUAAAGAAAGCGUAAUAGCUCACUAGUCGAGUCGGCCUGCGCGGAAGAUGUAACGGGGCUCAAACCAGGCACCGAAGCCGCGGAUUCACACUUAUGUGUGAGUGGUAGGGGAGCGUUCUGUAAGUCUGCGAAGGUGUAUCGAGAGGUAUGCUGGAGAUAUCAGAAGUGCGAAUGCUGACGUAAGUAACGAUAAAGGGGGUGAAAAGCCUCCUCGCCGGAAGACCAAGGGUUCCUGUCCAACGUUAAUCGGGGCAGGGUGAGUCGACCCCUAAGGCGAGGCCGAAAGGCGUAGUCGAUGGGAAGCAGGUUAAUAUUCCUGCACGACUUGUAAUUGCGAUGGGGGGACGGAGAAGGCUAGGUGGGCCAGGCGACGGUUGUCCUGGUGAAAGUGCGUAGGUGGUGUUUCUAGGCAAAUCCGGAGACACAACACUGAGACACGAGACGAACACACUACGGUGUGGAAGCCAUUGAUGCCCUGCUUCCAGGAAAAGCCUCUAAGCUUCAGAUUACAAGUCAUCGUACCCCAAACCGACACAGGUGGUCGGGUAGAGAAUACCAAGGCGCUUGAGAGAACUCGGGUGAAGGAACUAGGCAAAAUAGAACCGUAACUUCGGGAGAAGGUUCGCUCUUGACAGUGAAGUCCCUUGCGGAUGGAGCAGUUGGGAGUCGCAGUGACCAGAUGGCUGGGACUGUUUAUCAAAAACACAGCACUCUGCAAACACGAAAGUGGACGUAUAGGGUGUGACACCUGCCCGGUGCCGGAAGGUUAAUUGAUGGGGUUAGCGCAAGCGAAGCUCUUGAUCGAAGCCCCGGUAAACGGCGGCCGUAACUAUAACGGUCCUAAGGUAGCGAAAUUCCUUGUCGGGUAAGUUCCGACCUGCACGAAUGGUGUAACCAUGGCCAUGCUGUCUCCACCCGAGACUCAGUGAAAUCGAAUUCGCCGUGAAGAUGCGGUGUACCCGCGGCUAGACGGAAAGACCCCGUGAACCUUUACUACAGCUUGGCACUGAACAUUGAACCUACAUGUGUAGGAUAGGUGGGAGGCUUUGAAGGCGUGACGCCAGUUGCGCUGGAGCCGUCCUUGAAAUACCACCCUUGUAUGUUUGAUGUUCUAACGCAGGGCCCUGAAUCGGGCUCGCGGACAGUGCCUGGUGGGUAGUUUGACUGGGGCGGUCUCCUCCCAAAGAGUAACGGAGGAGCACGAAGGUUGGCUAAUCCUGGUCGGACAUCAGGAGGUUAGUGCAAUGGCAUAAGCCAGCUUAACUGCGAGACGGACAGGUCGAGCAGGUACGAAAGUAGGUCAUAGUGAUCCGGUGGUUCUGAAUGGAAGGGCCAUCGCUCAACGGAUAAAAGGUACUCCGGGGAUAACAGGCUGAUACCGCCCAAGAGUUCAUAUCGACGGCGGUGUUUGGCACCUCGAUGUCGGCUCAUCACAUCCUGGGGCUGAAGUCGGUCCCAAGGGUAUGGCUGUUCGCCAUUUAAAGUGGUACGCGAGCUGGGUUCAGAACGUCGUGAGACAGUUCGGUCCCUAUCUGCCGUGGGCGUUGGAUGAUUGAAGGGAGUUGCUCCUAGUACGAGAGGACCGGAGUGAACGAACCUCUGGUGUUCGGGUUGUCACGCCAGUGGCACUGCCCGGUAGCUAAGUUCGGAAUCGAUAACCGCUGAAAGCAUCUAAGCGGGAAGCGAGCCCUGAGAUGAGUCAUCCCUGACCCCUUGAGGGUCCUAAAGGGCCGUUGGAGACCACAACGUUGAUAGGUGGGGUGUGUAAGCACGGCGACGUGUUGAGCUAACCCAUACUAAUUACCCGUGAGGCUUAACCAUA
rnacentral:rRNA from 1 species